GACCAAUAGCUCAGUGGUAGAGUACCUAGAAUGUAUCCAAGAGGUCCUGGGUUCAAAUUUCAAACCCGAGUCUGGUCA